rnacentral:rRNA from 1 species
AACGAACGCUGGCGGCAUGCCUAACACAUGCAAGUCGAACGAAGCCUUCGGGCUUAGUGGCGCACGGGUGCGUAACACGUGGGAAUCUGCCUCUAGGUAGGGAAUAACUCAGGGAAACUUGUGCUAAUACCCUAUGAUGUCUUCGGACCAAAGAUUUAUCGCCUAGAGAUGAGCCCGCGUCGGAUUAGCUAGUUGGUGAGGUAAAGGCUCACCAAGGCUACGAUCCGUAGCUGGUCUGAGAGGAUGAUCAGCCACACUGGGACUGAGACACGGCCCAGACUCCUACGGGAGGCAGCAGUGGGGAAUAUUGGACAAUGGGCGAAAGCCUGAUCCAGCAAUGCCGCGUGAGUGAAGAAGGCCUUCGGGUUGUAAAGCUCUUUUACCCGGGAAGAUAAUGACUGUACCGGGAGAAUAAGCCCCGGCUAACUCCG